ensembl:lncRNA
CGGAGCUGGCCCGAGGGCGGGGCGCGCAAACCCCUUGAGCGCGUCGUCCUGCACCGUCCUGGCCCAGGACUUUAGCUGCCGGAUCGCUCCGGAGCCGAGGACCUCCCCGCGCCCCCCGCCGUCUGGGCCUCCAGGGCCGCCAAGCGAGGGUUCACAGCUGCCCGCACAUCCCGGGUCUCCCCCGCCCCAUUCUAGCCGCCCAGUUUGCCCCCUUCGGGCGAAAGUGAGGAUAAGCUGACGCUUUCCCUCAACUUCUCUGGGAGAGAGAGCCGGAGCCCCACACACUGGCUUCAGUGUCCCAGAACACUCAGCAGGAGGAGAGAACGAUUUAAGAAACAAUUUGGUUCGAAAGGCCAUGGUGAAAAUCAGCCAUUUGUACAGCUGAGACGUGGUUGUGUUUAACCCAGAGGACCUCGCUUUCAGGGAAAAAAGAAAAAGAAGAAAAAAACCUGAUGCGGCCUUUCAGACAGCGCCAAUGAGAAGAAUGUGUGAUUGGAAGCCCCGAGAACCAGCACAGCCUCCAUCCAGGCCAUCCCCUGCAAUCCCACACAGCCAGCUGGGCCCCUGGGGGCCAUCCCAGCCCCCUCCUCCUGGGUUCCCUUCCCAGGUCCAACUGAGGAUCUUCGCGUGAAGCUCACCUCAGGUACCUAUGUCUGAAUCCCACCAGCAGUGCAAAGACCCUUCCUGGAGGGGAAAGCUCAAGCUCACCCAGGGACUACCUCAUCAGAGUUCCCAAGCUCAGGAGAUUCCCCUCAUCUGCUGUCAGACUUGGUGGUUGGUCAUCUUUCCACUGAUCCUGCCCAUAUUGCUACAGGCAUGUGCUCCUUUUUCAAAGUGAUGGAAAAUACAAGAAACAACAGUUGCCACUGGGAUAGGAGCUUUCAGAACUUGGUUCUGAACACAUUUCAGUCAUUAAAAUGGCUGUAUGGCGUUGGGCAAGUUAUUUAAUCUCUCUAAUUCAAUAUCCUCAUAAAGAAAGUGAAGAAGAUAUUAGUGAUAUCCAGUGAGCCAGUGGAUCUGAACACACUGAAAAGUGUACAAGCUGAUUUUGUCAUCUCUAUUUCACUUUGUCAAACAAGAAACAUCUCAAGUGAAGGAAACUGCUACCUGAAAAUAAGGAGAGCCUGUGCCAAGAAGUGAAAAUGGAAGCAAACCUGAAGGAACCCAGCAGGGGAUCUGAGGACAUAGCCAGGGCCCAAAGCUUGGACUACACACAAUGUCAGGCUCCAGCCUUGCCCAACACAGCCUCCCAAGUAGCUGUGACAAUUCAGCUGCAAAAUCUAUAACAUAAAGGAGCCAGUUUUUCCCUCGAAGCCAAGGUGUGGCUGUGCAGAGAUUUUCUAUGAAGCCAUCCUCCUGUGAGGCAGCCUGUUUCCCGUCUCUCCUCAGGGCCUAGGACACUCCGGGAGGCCUGUGCUUGUUGUGGCCCCACAGCUCUCCAUCCGUAGACAGCUGGGAGUGUCGGGAUCACCACACCCUGGGUUCAAGGACCCCAGAAGGCAGAGUGUUGUUGUUGGGCUCUGAGAAUGUUACCUUGAGUUCCAGAAUGUUC